ncrna:unclassified sequences drum RNA
AAGCGUUGAAGCAUAAUAGCGUACCGGAAUGCCUUGUUAUGCAGAGCUUUCAGUAGGGGUUGUGCAGUAACCUCAAACCGGAGUAGGCUGCAAAGCUGAAAGAAAAUGCUCAAA